GUUUCCGUAGGUGAACCUGCGGAGGGAUCAUUAUUGAGUGAGGGCCUUCGGGCUCGACCUCCAACCCUUUGUGAACACAACUUGUUGCUUCGGGGGCGACCCUGCCGUUCGACGGCGAGCGCCCCCGGAGGCCUUCAAACCCUGCAUCUUUGCGUCGGAGUUUAAGUAAAUUAAACAAAACUUUCAACAACGGAUCUCUUGGUUCUGGCAUCGGAUGAAGAACGCACGGAAAUGCGAUAAGUAAUGUGAAUUGCAGAAUUCAGUGAAUCAUCGAAUCUUUGAACGCACAUUGCGCCCUUUGGUAUUCCGAAGGGCAUGCCUGUUCGAGCGUCAUUUCACCACUCAAGCCUCGCUUGGUAUUGGGCGCCGCGGUGUUUCCGCGCGCCUCAAAGUCUUCCGGCUGAGCUGUCCGUCUCUAAGCGUUGUGAUUUCAUUAAUCGCUUCGGAGCGCGGGCGGCCGCGGCCGUUAAAUCUUUCACAAGGUUGACCUCGGAUCAGGUAGGGAUACCCGCUGAACUUAAGCAUAU
rnacentral:rRNA from 1 species